UCACCUUGUUCCAGCAUUGUUUCCUAGUAGACUUAUAGUGAUUUUUGACCGUGCCUGCCUUACUGUUUUGCCUUCUGCCUGCUCCCUUUGGAUUUUUUUGCCUUGAAGAAUUGACUGCCCGUGUACCGACCUGGACUGUUAUUAAACUCUACCUUUUCCUGAACUCAGCCACGUAGCACAUGAGUUAUUAAUGUCUGUCAGGACCCAGAAUCUUAAAAAGUGGGGAAUCCACUCCCACGCACUCAGCAGCACAAAAACAAUUCACUAGAAAGAUUCAGAUUCAGAUUUGACUCCCUGCAUGUGGCCUCUCAAACAUCCAGAGGAGCAGGAUCAUUUCCUUUCUCCGACAAAUGAUCCCUUGUUAUUUCCUGUCCCUGAUCACAUAAAUGAUUGAAUCCUUGUUGAUAUAAAGUGCGAUCGCUGCGACCCCCCCCUCCGCCCCGAUCACCUCCAGUCCAGCUCAGCAGGGUUCAGAUCCAGACUCAGAAACCCACUCCUCAUCACAUCCUGACUUCUUCUAUCACCACCAGGGUCUAGACUCCUUAGGGGGAGUCUAUCCUAUCCUGCUGUCGGCCUCGCUUCCCCUCUGAGUUCUUGAAGUCAUCAUGGCGGAGUCUAAUCAAAGAUGUUA